UGAAAUAAUGCUUCUAUCCAUCUAUCUACCUAUAUUCUAAAGUUGUUGCUGUGGGUUCUUCAUUUUGGAAGAAAGACAUUAUCUAAGAUUUCUUGACCUGCAAGGAAAUUGGAUUUAAAUGAGAUAGAGUCACAUCAGCCUUACUCACUCUUCCAACACCACCAAACUCUAAUGGCAAGAUAAGAAUCAAGAGGAUCAGCAGUGACUUGGAAGGCAACAGAUGGCCUUGGAGAUGGGAAUACAAAAAGAGACACUAUACAGUGCCAAGGAGCACAAGGUCAAAAUGAACCAAACCAAUCCAGGUAAGACUGAUGAACUUCUAAGUCAAUACAAAAGAAUUUGAACCUAGUGUGAGACUU
rnacentral:lncRNA from 1 species